rnacentral:rRNA from 1 species
GAUGAACGCUGGCGGCGUGCCUAAUACAUGCAAGUCGAGCGAAUGGAUUAAGAGCUUGCUCUUAUGAAGUUAGCGGCGGACGGGUGAGUAACACGUGGGUAACCUGCCCAUAAGACUGGGAUAACUCCGGGAAACCGGGGCUAAUACCGGAUAACAUUUUGAACCGCAUGGUUCGAAAUUGAAAGGCGGCUUCGGCUGUCACUUAUGGAUGGACCCGCGUCGCAUUAGCUAGUUGGUGAGGUAACGGCUCACCAAGGCAACGAUGCGUAGCCGACCUGAGAGGGGGAUCGGCCACACUGGGACUGAGACACAGCCCAGACUCCUACGGGAGGCAGCAGUAGGGAAUCUCCCGCAAUGGACGAAAGUCUGACGUAGCAACGCCGCGUGAGUGAUGAAGGCUUUCGGGUCGUAAAACUCUGUUGUUAGGGAAGAACAAGUGCUAGUUGAAUAAGCUGGCACCUUGACGGUACCUAACCAGAAAGCCACGGCUAACUACGUGCCAGCAGCCGCAGUAA